GGCUCGUUGGUCUAGGGGUAUGAUUCUCGCUUAGGGUGCGAGAGGUCCCGGUUUCAAAUCCAGGAUGAGCCC
rnacentral:tRNA from 1 species